GACGAACGCUGGCGGCGUGCUUAACACAUGCAAGUCGAACGGAAAGGCCCUGCUUUUGUGGGGUGCUCGAGUGGCGAACGGGUGAGUAACACGUGAGUAACCUGCCCUUGACUUUGGGAUAACUUCAGGAAACUGGGGCUAAUACCGGAUAGGAGCUCCUGCUGCAUGGUGGGGGUUGGAAAGUUUCGGCGGUUGGGGAUGGACUCGCGGCUUAUCCGCUUGUUGGUGAGGUAGUGGCUUACCAAGGCUUUGACGGGUAGCCGGCCUGAGAGGGUGACCGGCCACAUUGGGACUGAGAUACGGCCCAGACUCCUACGGGAGGCAGCAGUGGGGAAUAUUGCACAAUGGGCGGAAGCGUGAUACAGCAACGCCGCGUGCGGGAUGACGGCCUUCGGGUUGUAAACCGCUUUCGCCUGUGACGAAGCGUGAGUGACGGUAAUGGGUAAAGAAGCACCGGCUAACUACGUG
rnacentral:rRNA from 1 species